CCUACGGGAGGCAGCAGUGGGGAAUAUUGCACAAUGGGGGAAACCCUGAUGCAGCGACGCCGCGUGAGUGAAGAAGGACCUAGGUAUGUUAAGCUUCAUCAACAGGGAAGAAAAUGACGGUACCUGAGUAAGUAGCCCCGGAUAACUACGUGACAGCAGCCGUGACUAUACGUAGGGGGCAAGCGUUAUCCGGAUUUACUGGGGUUAAAGGGAGCGUAGACGGGAGGGCAAGUCAGGAGUGAAAGUCGGGGGCUCAACCGCACGACUGCCAUUGAAACUGGACGGCUGGAGUUCAGGCGAGGUAAGUGGAAUUCGUGGUGUAGCGGUGAAAUGCGUAGAUAUUAGGAGGAACACCAGUGGCGAAGGCAGCUUACUGGACUGUAACUGACGUUGAUGCUCGAAAGCGUGGGGAGCAAACAGGAUUAGAUACCCUAGUAGUC
rnacentral:rRNA from 1 species